GGCAUCCCAUCUUCCCAUACGUUUGAGUUGAGGGUGAUUUGUUCUACAAUAAGGAACAAGAAGAAAGGCUACAGUUCAAACGUUGAGAUCAUGGUCCAAGAUCAAAAGUUGAUCAAAGGUCCAAAGACUGAGAUUUAUCUUGGAGAAGAUGGAUCUCUAAUGAGAAGAAAAAUUUAAGAUUGAUCUCGAUGGAUACCUGUAA
rnacentral:lncRNA from 1 species